rnacentral:tRNA from 1 species
GUGUUAAUAAUAUAUUUAUAAGUAUGACAUCUUUCCAAGUUGUAAGUUUGAUUUAUUCAAUUAAUAUA